ensembl:lncRNA
CUAUGUCUCCCGGCUGGCCUGGGAACGCCUCAGUGUCCCCCCGGAAGAGCUAGAGGAAGUGUCUGGGGAGAGGGAAGUCUGGGCAUCCCUGCUUAGACUGCUGCCCCCGCGACCCGGCCCCGGAUAAGCGGAAGAAGAUGGAUGGAGAUCUCAUCUGUGGAAAACAUUUCAGUACAGCUCUAUCCAAUUUCCAAGGUGUGAAGGAUUAAGGAACAGUUGGGAAAGCUGAUUGGGGAUAAGCUGGUUGUACAGGCCUAAGACAGCUGGCUGUAUGGAGAUAUCAAAAGCAGAUGUGACUGGAAUGCUGUCCACAUGGAAAAC